rnacentral:snRNA from 1 species
GUGCUCGCUUUGGCAACACAUAUACUAAAAUUGGAAUGAUACAGAGAAGAUUAGCAUGGCC